rnacentral:rRNA from 1 species
UAUCGGAGUAGACAACAGGGAUUGCCCCAGUAACGGCGAGUGAAGCGGCAACAGCUCAAAUUUGAAAUCUGGCCUCCGGGUCCGAGUUGUAAUUUGUAGAGGAUGCUUUUGGCGAGGUGCCUUCCGAGUUCCCUGGAACGGGACGCCAUAGAGGGUGAGAGCCCCGUCUGGUCGGACACCGAGCCUCUGUAAAGCUCCUUCGACGAGUCGAGUAGUUUGGGAAUGCUGCUCAAAAUGGGAGGUAUAUGUCUUCUAAAGCUAAAUAUUGGCCAGAGACCGAUAGCGCACAAGUAGAGUGAUCGAAAGAUGAAAAGCACUUUGAAAAGAGGGUUAAAAAGUACGUGAAAUUGUUGAAAGGGAAGCGCCUAUGACCAGACUUGGGCCCGGUGAAUCAUCCAGCGUUCUCGCUGGUGCACUUUGCCGGGCACAGGCCAGCAUCAGUUUGGCGCGGGGGAUAAAGGUUUUGGGAAUGUGGCUCCCUCGGGAGUGUUAUAGCCCAUUGCGUAAUACCCUGCGCCGGACUGAGGUACGCGCAUCGCAAGGAUGCUGGCGUAAUGGUCAUCAGCGACCCGUCUUGAAACACGGACCAAGGAGUCGUCUUCGUAUGCGAGUGUUCGGGUGUCAAACCCCUACGCGUAAUGAAAGUGAACGCAGGUGAGAGCUUCGGCGCAUCAUCGACCGAUCCUGAUGUUCUCGGAUGGAUUUGAGUAAGAGCAUACGGGGCCGGACCCGAAAGAAGGUGAACUAUGCCUGUAUAGGGUGAAGCCAGAGGAAACUCUGGUGGAGGCUCGCAGCGGUUCUGACGUGCGAAUCGAUCGUCAAAUAUGGGCAUGGGGGCGAAAGACUAAUCGAACCUUCUAGUAGCUGGUUUCCGCCGAAUUCCCCCCUCAGGAA